AUUGAACGCUGGCGGCAUGCUUUACACAUGCAAGUCGAACGGUAACAGGUUAAGCUGACGAGUGGCGAACGGGUGAGUAAUGCAUCGGAACGUGCCCGAUCGUGGGGGAUAACGCAGCGAAAGCUGCGCUAAUACCGCAUACGAUCUGAGGAUGAAAGCGGGGGACCGUAAGGCCUCGCGCGAUCGGAGCGGACGAUGUCAGAUUAGGUAGUUGGUGGGGUAAAGGCUCACCAAGCCAACGAUCUGUAGCUGGUCUGAGAGGACGACCAGCCACACUGGGACUGAGACACGGCCCAGACUCCUACGGGAGGCAGCAGUGGGGAAUUUUGGACAAUGGGCGAAAGCCUGAUCAGCAAUGCCGCGUGCAGGAAGAAGGCCUUCGGGUUGUAAACUGCUUUUGUACGGAGCGAAAAGGCUCUCUCUAAUACAGGGGGCUCAUGACGGUACCGUAAGAAUAAGCACCGGCUAACUACGUGCCAGCAGCCGCCGUAACAC
rnacentral:rRNA from 1 species